AGCGUUCCCUGGCUGUUUCCCUGGCCCUGCAUUCACCUCCGUUAGGGAUGUGGUGUAGAAUGCACCUGCCUUCUUUAUCUGCAUGCAUCGUCCCGCGACCAAAAAAGACAGCUAUGUCUUAGAUGCACAACUCUACUCACAGCUGACCACAGCUUUUCAUCCGAAGAGGUAACUGGUGGUGAAUGACACUCUACGGUGCAAUAGAAAGAGCUGGACGUUGAAGCCAAACACACCUGGAUGUAAAUCCCAGCUUGCUAGAUGUGUGUUCUGAUGUCUACGUCAUUGGGUUGUUGCCAGGAUUAAAUGAUGUAAAUACAGAGCAUGUGGCUGGUGCAUAGCUAUUGCUCA
rnacentral:lncRNA from 1 species